GCAGGGGGCUGGAUGGCCGCGGCAGCAAUGCUGAGGAAAGUCCGGACUCCAUAAGGUGACGGUGCCGGGUAACGCCCGGCGGGGGCAACCCCAGGGAAAGCGCCACAGAAAACAAACCGCCUGCGUCCGCGCAGGUAAGGGUGAAACGGUGGGGUAAAAGCCCACCGGGCGGCUGGCAACAGACGCCGCAUGGCAAGCCCCACCGGGAGCAAUGCCGAAUAGGGAUCGCGCGCGGGACACCCGCAGGGCCACCUUGCCCCAGCAGAUCCGGGUAGGCAGCACGAUCCGUCGGGCAACCGCCGGACAAGAUGAAUGGUCAUCCAACCGCCUUGGGCGGGGGACAAAAUCCGGCUUACAGGCCCCCUGCACAG
rnacentral:RNase_P_RNA from 1 species